rnacentral:rRNA from 1 species
GUGAUCCGGUGGUUCUGUAUGGAAGGGCCAUCGCUCAACGGAUAAAAGGUACUCCGGGGAUAACAGGCUGAUACCGCCCAAGAGUUCAUAUCGACGGCGGUGUUUGGCACCUCGAUGUCGGCUCAUCACAUCCUGGGGCUGAAGUCGGUCCCAAGGGUAUGGCUGUUCGCCAUUUAAAGUGGUACGCGAGCUGGGUUUAGAACGUCGUGAGACAGUUCGGUCCCUAUCUGCCGUGGGCGUUGGAAGAUUGAAGGGGGCUGCUCCUAGUACGAGAGGACCGGAGUGGACGAACCUCUGGUGUUCGGGUUGUGUCGCCAGACGCAUUGCCCGGUAGCUAAGUUCGGAAUUGAUAAGCGCUGAAAGCAUCUAAGCGCGAAGCGAGCCCUGAGAUGAGUCUUCCCUGACAGUUUAACUGUCCUAAAGGGUUGUUCGAGACUAGAACGUUGAUAGGCAGGGUGUGUAAGCGUUGUGAGGCGUUGAGCUAACCUGUACUAAUUGCCCGUGAGGCUUAACCAUACAACACCCAAGGGGUUUUGUA